UACAGAGGUCUCAAGCGUUGUUCGGAUUCAUUGGGCGUAAAGAGCUCGUAGGCGGUUCAGUAAGUCAGGUGUGAAAUCUCCGCGCUCAACGCGGAGCGGCCACCUGAUACUGCUGUGACUCGAGUCCGGUAGGGAGUGUGGAAUUCCCGGUGUAGCGGUGAAUGCGCAGAUAUCGGAGGAACACCAGUAGCGAAGGCGGCACUCUGGCCGUGACUGACGCUGAGAGCGAAGCGUGGAGCAAACAGG
rnacentral:rRNA from 1 species